AAUGAACGCUGGCGGCGCGCCUAAUACAUGCAAGUCGAGCGAGAAGACGUAGCAAUACGUUUGUAAAGCGGCGAACGGGUGAGGAAUACAUGGGUAACCUACCCUCGAGUGGGGAAUAACUAGCCGAAAGGUUAGCUAAUACCGCGUACGCUUCUUGGACUUCGGUUCAGGGAGGAAAGCGAUGCCGAGGGUAUCGCGCUCUUGGAUGGGCUCAUGUCCUAUCAGCUUGNGGUGAGGUAACGGCUCACCAAGGCUUCGACGGGUAGCUGGUCCGAGAGGACGAUCAGCCACACUGGCACUGCGACACGGGCCAGACUCCUACGGGAGGCAGCAGUAAGGAAUAUUGCGCAAUGGGCGAAAAGCCUGACGCAGCGACGCCGCGUGGGGGAGUGAA
rnacentral:rRNA from 1 species